rnacentral:rRNA from 1 species
UACAGAGGGGGCAAGCGUUAUUCGGAAUUAUUGGGCGUAAAGGGCGCGUAGGCGGCCUGGCAAGUGACGGGUGAAAGCCCUCGGCUUAACCGAGGAACUGCCUGUCAGACUGUUAGGCUUGAGACCGGGAGAGGUGAGUGGAAUUCCCAGUGUAGCGGUGAAAUGCGUAGAUAUUCGCAAGAACACCAGUGGCGAAGGCGGCUGACUGGUCCGGUUCUGACGCUGAGGCGCGAAAGCGUGGGGAGCAAACAGG